rnacentral:rRNA from 1 species
GUGGGGAAUAUUGGACAAUGGGCGAAAGCCUGAUCCAGCCAUGCCGCGUGUGUGAAGAAGGUCUUCGGAUUGUAAAGCACUUUAAGUUGGGAGGAAGGGCAGUAAGUUAAUACCUUGCUGUUUUGACGUUACCGACAGAAUAAGCACCGGCUAACUUCGUGCCAGCAGCCGCGGUAAUACGAAGGGUGCAAGCGUUAAUCGGAAUUACUGGGCGUAAAGCGCGCGUAGGUGGUUUUGUAAGUUGGAGGUGAAAUCCCCGGGCUCAACCUGGGAACUGCCUCCAAAACUGCAUGACUAGAGUACGGUAGAGGGUAGUGGAAUUUCCUGUGUAGCGAUGAAAUGCGUAGAUAUAGGAAGGAACACCAGUGGCGAAGGCGACUACCUGGACUGAUACUGACACUGAGGUGCGAAAGCGUGGGGAGCAAACAGGAUUAGAAACCCGGGUAGUCC